UACGAAGGGGGCUAGCGUUGCUCGGAAUCACUGGGCGUAAAGGGCGCGUAGGCGGCUCUGUAAGUCAGAUGUGAAAGCCCUGGGCUUAACCUGGGAACUGCAUUUGAUACUGCAAGGCUAGAGAUCGAGAGAGGAAAGUGGAAUUACGAGUGUAGAAGUGAAAUUCGUAGAUAUUCGUAGGAACACCAAGUGGCGAAGGCGACUUUCUGGCUCGAUACUGACGCUAAAAGCGCGAAAGCGUGGGGGAGCAAACAGG
rnacentral:rRNA from 1 species